UACGUAGGGUGCAAGCGUUGCCCGGAUUUAUUGGGCGUAAAGGGUGCGUAGGUGGUUGGGUAAGUCUGAUGUGAAAUCUCCGGGCUCAACCCGGAAAUGGCAUUGGAUACUAUUCGGCUAGAGGUUUGGAGGGGGGACUGGAAUUCUCGGUGUAGCAGUGAAAUGCGUAGAUAUCGAGAGGAACACCAGUGGCGAAGGCGAGUCCCUGGACAACACCUGACACUGAGGCACGAAAGCUAGGGGAGCAAACAGG
rnacentral:rRNA from 1 species